rnacentral:rRNA from 1 species
GUGCACCAGGCGCGAAACUUUACAAUGUGCGAAAGCACGAUAAGGGAACUCUGAGUGCCUCCUAAGGAGGCUGUUCAGGUGUCUAAAAGCACCUGAAGGAAGGGCUGGGUAAGACCGGUGCCAGCCGCCGCGGUAACACCGGCAGCCCAAGUGGUAGCCACGUUUAUUGGGUCUAAAGCGUCCGUAGCCGGCUGGGUAAGUUCCUUGGGAAAUUUGGCUGCUUAACAGUCAAGCUUUCAGGGAAUACUGCCCGGCUUGGGACCGGGAGAGGUCAGAGGUACUCCAGGGGUAGGGGUGAAAUCCAUUAAUCCUUGGGGGACCACCGGUAGCGAAGGCGUCUGACCAGACCGGGUCCGACGGUGAGGGACGAAGGCUAGGGGCGCGAACCGGAUUAGAUA